AUACGCGUGGAACCUUACCUACUCUUGACAUCCAGAGAAGCCAGCGGAGACGCAGGUGUGCCUUCGGGAGCUCUGAGACAGGUGCUGCAUGGCCGUCG
rnacentral:rRNA from 1 species